UGUACUUCCUUGGUUCCACAUCA
rnacentral:siRNA from 1 species